AAGAAAGCAGGGUUUUUUUGCCUUAUUGUGAACUAGGCUCUCGUAAACUUCAGGGAAAUUACUUGUGCAUUGUUCUUGGGUGAACCUCUGGAUUUUAUUGGUGCUUGAAGGUUCAGUAAAUGAUGCUACAUUU